GAUACGGGACUCAUCCGAGGCCCCGUAAUCGGAAUGAAUACACUUUAAAUCCUUUAAUGAGGAUCCAUUGGAGGGCAAGUCUGGUGCCAGCAGCCGCGGUAAUUCCAGCUCCAAUAGCGUAUAUUAAAGUUGUUGCGGUUAAAAAGCUCGUAGUUGAAUUUGUGUCUUAUACUGUUGGUUCAUUAUUUUAUAAUGUUAACUGACACGUUAUAAGAUGUCCUACCGGUGGAUUUAGCUGAGGUAACACUUGGCGGUCCAAUAAAUCCUAUCGCGGUGCUCUUAAUUGAGUGUCGAGGUAGGCCGGUACGUUUACUUUGAACAAAUUAGAGUGCUUAAAGCAGGCUAUUUAUGCCUGAAUACUGUGUGCAUGGAAUAAUAGAAUAGGACCUCGGUUCUAUUUUGUUGGUUUUCGGAACUCCGAGGUAAUGAUUAAUAGGGACAGAUGGGGGCAUUCGUAUUGCGACGUUAGAGGUGAAAUUCUUGGAUCGUCGCAAGACGAACAGAAGCGAAAGCAUUUGCCAAAAAUGUUUUCAUUAAUCAAGAACGAAAGUUAGAGGUUCGAAGGCGAUCAGAUACCGCCCUAGUUCUAACCAUAAACGAUGCCAGCUAGCGAUCCGCCGAUGUUCCUCCGAUGACUCGGCGGGCAGCUUCCGGGAAACCAAAGCUUUUGGGUUCCGGGGGAAGUAUGGUUGCAAAGCUGAAACUUAAAGGAAU
rnacentral:rRNA from 1 species